rnacentral:misc_RNA from 1 species
UUAACUUAUUAUAUAAUUCUCAGACGACACUAAACACAGGGUGUGAAUGAUUCUCUGGCGGGCUGUUCCGGCGACGCCGGGCACCCCGCCAAAGCAACAAAGGUAAAUAACACAGGGUGGGAGGUCUACCCCGAAGGGCACGAUCUCUGUAAUGAUCCUUCCGCUGGUUCACCAACGGAAA